AUGUGCUGCUUCUAAUCGUCCUCAGGACAAUUAUUGACCAUUUGACCUCAAAUCAGGUAGGACUACCCGCUGAACUUAAGCAUAUCAAUAAGCGGAGGAAG
rnacentral:rRNA from 1 species